GACGUAGGAGGCGAGCGUUGUCCGGAUUUAUUGGGCGUAAAGAGCUCGUAGGUGGUUCGGUAAGUCAGGUGUGAAACCUCCAGGCUCAACCUGGAGACGCCACUUGAUACUGCUGUGACUGGAGUCCGGGUAGGGGAGCGUGGAAUUCCUGGUGUAGCGGUGAAAUGCGCAGAUAUCAGGAGGAACACCAAUGCGAAGGCAGCUCGCUGGGACGUUACUGACGCUGAGACGCGAAAGCCGUGGGGAGCAAACAGG
rnacentral:rRNA from 1 species